rnacentral:rRNA from 1 species
GUGCCAGCAGCCGCGGUAAUUCCAGCUCCAAUAGCGUAUAUUAAAGUUGUUGCAGUUAAAAAGCUCGUAGUUGGAUCUCGGGUCCCGGCCUGCGGUUCACCACACGGUGUCUACUGCCCGUCCGGACCUACCUGCCGGUUUUCCCCUGGUUCUCUUCGUUGAGUGCCUCGGGUGGCCGGAACGUUUACUUUGAAAAAAUUAGAGUGUUCAAAGCAGGCGGUUCGCCUGAAUAAUGGUGCAUGGAAUAAUGGAAUAGGACCUCGGUUCUAUUUUGUUGGUUUUCGGAAGUCGAGGUAAUGAUUAAGAGGGACAGACGGGGGCAUUCGUAUUACGGUGUUAGAGGUGAAAUUCU